rnacentral:snoRNA from 1 species
CUACCAAUAAUGACUUAAAAAUAGAGCUCAUUGGAAUCUGAACGAAAUGAGUGACCAAGUCAUUGUUGUGCCACUUCUAUAGCUGAGGUUA